rnacentral:rRNA from 1 species
CCUACGGGUGGCAGCAGUGGGGGAUAUUGCACAAUGGGGGGAACCCUGAUGUAGCGACGCCGCGUGGGUGAAGGAGUGCUUCGGCAUGUAAAGCCCUAUCGGCAGGGAAGAAGAAAGACGGUACCUGACUACGAAGCCACGGCUAACUAGGUGCCAGCAGACGCGGUAAUACGGAGGGGGCGAGCGUUAUCCGGAUUCACUGGGUGUAAAGGGAGCGUAGACGGCCAUGCAAGCCAGGGGUGAAAGCCCGGGGCCCAACCCCGGGACUGCCCUUGGAACUGUGCGGCUAGAGUGCGGGAGGGGCAAGCGGAAUUCCUGGUGUAGCGGUGAAAUGCGUAGAUAUCAGGAGGAACACCGGCGGCGAAGGCGGCCUGCUGGACCGCGACUGACGUUGAGGCUCGAAAGCGUGGGGAGCGAACAGGAUUAGAUACCCUAGUAGUC